GAUGAACGCUGGCGGCGUGCCUAAUACAUGCAAGUCGAGCGAACAGACGAGGAGCUUGCUCCUCUGACGUUAGCGGCGGACGGGUGAGUAACACGUGGAUAACCUACCUAUAAGACUGGGAUAACAUCGGGAAACCGGUGCUAAUACCGCAUAAUAUAUUGAACCGCAUGGUUCAAUAGUGAAAGACGGCUUUGCUGUCACUUAUAGAUGGAUCCGCGCCGCAUUAGCUAGUUGGUAAGGUAACGGCUUACCAAGGCAACGAUGCGUAGCCGACCUGAGAGGGUGAUCGGCCACACUGGAACUGAGACACGGUCCAGACUCCUACGGGAGGCAGCAGUAGGGAAUCUUGGGCAAUGGGCGAAAGCUUGACGGAGCAACGCCGCGUGAGUGAUGAAGGUCUUCGGAUCGUAAAGCUCUGUUAUUAGGGAAGAACAAAUGUGUAAGUAACUAUGCACGUCUUGACGGUACCUAAUCAGAAAGCCACGGCUAACUACGUG
rnacentral:rRNA from 1 species